CCCUAGAGUGGGGGACAACAGUUGGAAACGACUGCUAAUACCGCAUAAGCCCACGGUACCGCAUGGUACUGAGGGAAAAGGAUUUAUUCGCUUUAGGAUGGACUCGCGUCCAAUUAGCUAGUUGGUGAGGUAACGGCCCACCAAGGCGACGAUUGGUAGCCGGACUGAGAGGUUGAACGGCCACAUUGGGACUGAGACACGGCCCAGACUCCUACGGGAGGCAGCAGUGGGGGAUAUUGCACAAUGGGGGAAACCCUGAUGCAGCGACGCCGCGUGGAGGAAGAAGGUUUUCGGAUUGUAAACUCCUGUCGUUAGGGACGAUAAUGACGGUACCUAACAAGAAAGCACCGGCUAACUACGUGCCAGCAGCCGCGGUAAAACGUAGGGUGCAAGCGUUGUCCGGAAUUACUGGGUGUAAAGGGAGCGCAGGCGGGAAGACAAGUUGGAAGUGAAAACCAUGGGCUCAACCCAUGAAUUGCUUUCAAAACUGUUUUUCUUGAGUAGUGCAGAGGUAGAUGGAAUUCCCGGUGUAGCGGUGGAAUGCGUAGAUAUCGGGAGGAACACCAGUGGCGAAGGCGGUCUACUGGGCACCAACUGACGCUGAGGCUCGAAAGCAUGGGUAGCAAACAGGAUUAGAUACCCUGGUAGUCCAUGCCGUAAACGAUGAUUACUAGGUGUUGGGGGAUUGACCCCCUCAGUGCCGCAGUUAACACAAUAAGUAAUCCACCUGGGGAGUACGACCGCAAGGUUGCAACUCAAAUGAAUUGACGG
rnacentral:rRNA from 1 species